GUUACACCCUCACGGUAUCUUGGGGACCAGUCCAUGACUAGGGCCAAAUGGUGCCGCCACUCAGUCAUACAGGGUAAACUGUUGGGAAUGUCCAACUGACAGCUUUUAGAACGUUCAAGAUUGUCCUUGGCCUUGGACGAUGCUAACUGGCUGCUGUGGAAGAGAACCAGGCAGCUCAGCCAAUCAGAUGCAAGAAUGAGAAGCAACUGACUGUAGGAGAGUGGGAAGAGAAAGUUUUAUCUUUUCCCAGUUGUUACCGUGCGGUGAAAAUUACAGAAGCGCAGAAGAACUGUGCAUGAUACCCAUGUCCCGUUUAAGUCUGUAGUGGGAGGGUGAAGGCAGGGUAUAAAGACUUGUGUUGGUUCUCUAUGCUGGGCUGUACUCUAUUCCCAGUGUGUAGUGGGAAGGAGAAUUUACAGAAGCAAGAGGGAAAUGCCUCAGGGAAAGUAAGUGAUCCCUUGAGGCUCUCGUGAUUUGGGGUUGAUGUGGCUCCUUCUAUUUUUUAAAAUCAGAGAGCUCUCUUGCAGCCUGCUUUGCUGGUGGUGGCUUCUUCAGAUGCUUCUCCCUCUCUAGUCUGACUAGCCAACUUUGCAUUCAUCUAUAGUGCUUCCCUUUUCUGUACCAAGGAGAAAGUUCAAGCAAGCAAGAAGCAGACAAGCACCUAUGAACCGCAUUGCACCUCACACCUAUCUGGAAAGCACCGUCACCACUCCUAUGGAAUACAAUUGGAAUGUAGCAUAUGCAUUGCAAGACAAUUCCUUUCGCGGGGUGAGGGGGAGAGGAAUAUACUUGUGUGUAGCAAUUGUGUUAACCUGAGCUAUGGGCGGAGCUAUUAUGUAAUCUCUUAGACUAUUGGCUUACUGUGCUCAUAUGCCUUACUGCUAGAACCUAUCCAUGGGCUUGGGAACUCCUACCCCAUCUCUUCUCUCCACUCAUCAGCUCCCUAUAUAGUCUAUUGUAAUUAUUUGCUUGGCAGUGUUUGCCAAGCAAAUUGGCAAGGUGAUACUCUGCCAGCGCUGUGCGUAAU